UACGAAGGGGGCUAGCGUUGCUCGGAAUUACUGGGCGUAAAGGGCGCGUAGGCGGAUAUUUAAGUCGGGGGUGAAAGCCCAGGGCUCAACCCUGGAAUUGCCUUCGAUACUGGAUAUCUUGGGUUCGGGAGAGGUGAGUGGAAUGCCGAGUGUAGAGGUGAAAUUCGUAGAUAUUCGGCGGAACACCAGUGGCGAAGGCGACUCACUGGCCCGAUACUGACGCUGAGGCGCGAAGCGUGGGGAGCAAACAGG
rnacentral:rRNA from 1 species